rnacentral:lncRNA from 1 species
GUUUUCCNACUAAGAUACUACAGGGUCAUUGCUAGGAUACAACAGUACCAGGAUAUUAUCACAGAGCUCCCGAGGUGCUCCAGGACAGGGGUCAGUUUGCAGUGGGACACUCCAGGACAGGGGUCAGUUUGCAGCAGGAUAUUCCAGGACAGGGGUCAGUUUGCAGUAGGACACUCCAGGACAGUUUGCAGUGGGAUAUUCUCAGGACAGGGGUCAGUUUGCAGUGGGAUAUUCCAGGACAGGGGUCAGUGGGAUGCUCUCAGGACAGGGGUCAGUUUGCAGUGGGAUAUUCUCAGGACAGGGGUCAGUUUGCAGUAGGACACUCCAGGACAGGGGUCAGUUUGCAGUAAGAUGCUCCAGGCCAGGGGUCAGUUUGCAGUGGGAUGCUCUCAGGACAGGUCAGUUUGCAGUAGGAUAUUCCAGGACAGGGAUCAGUAGGAUAUUGUCAGGCCAGGGGUCGGUGUGGAGUAGGAUGCUCCAGGACAGGGGUCAGUUUGGAGUAGGAUAUUCCAGGACAGGGGUCAGUAGGAUAUUCUCAGGAUGGGUCAGUUUGCAGUGGGAUGCUCUCAGGACAGGUCAGUUUGGAGUAGGAUAUUCCAGGACAGGGGUCAGUUUGCAGUAG